GAAAUUGUAUCUCCUUUCAGUUUUCGUUGAGAAACUGAUGGUGUUCAUGGGAGAAAUUGAAGCAUUCUGUUUCCAUGGUUGCAGCAGUCAAGCCAAGGAAUAAUAUCAAAAGAGUUGAUUAAUCGCCUCAUGAGUAUUCUUGGUCACGUAAUGCAGCUCAAAACAUUGAAGGUCAAGGGCAUUGAGUACAGAGUAUAACUCUCUCCCAAAUGAAUCUUCCCAACCAUUUGACUGUGAUUGAGAUGAAUUUGUCAUGGUCUCGAGAGCUGAUGUGAAUCCUACGCGAUUGAGGAAUUCAUGAUUUCGACGUGAUUGAUGACAAGCGAUGAGUACAUAGUCCACUUCAGCUUAUGGGCUAUUUCAAAGUUCGCUAUCAUCUUGAUGAGGACCCAAAGACUUUGAAGGUGUUUCCCAUUCUACUUCAUGCUGCCAGUGGCUCAACUCUGCAUUAUGACUGGCUUAGCAUUUCACCUGAUGGAAAGAUAUUGGCAGCAACCCAUGGU